rnacentral:snoRNA from 1 species
GGAUGAUAUGAGGAAUAUCAUAUACAUUGAUUGCUGCUAUGAUGGCAAUUUAUCAUGUAUUAGCUCUAUCUGAUCAUUC